rnacentral:rRNA from 1 species
CCUACGGGAGGCAGCAGUGAGGAAUAUUGGUCAAUGGGCGCUAGCCUGAACCAGCCAAGUAGCGUGAAGGAUGACUGCCCUAUGGGUUGUAACCUUCUUUUAUAUGGGAAUAAAGUGCAGUAUGUAUACUGCUUUGCAUGUACCUUAUGACUAAGGAUCGGCAGACUCCGUGCCAGCAGCCGCGGUAAUACUGAGGAUCCGAGCGUUAUCCGGAUUUCUUGGGGUUAAAGGGAGCCUAGGCGGGUGGUUAAUUCAGUGGUGAAAGUUUGCGGCUCAACCGUAAAAUUGCAGUUGAUACUGGCAUCCUUGAGUACAGUAGAGGUAGGCGGAAUUCGUGGUGUAGCGGUGAAAUGCGUAGAUAUCACGAAGAACUCCGAUUGCGAAGGCAGCCUGCUGGACUGUAACUGACGCUGAUGCUCGAAAGUGUGGGUAGCAAACAGGAUUAGAUACCCCAGUAGUC